GGGGUAUCUGUGAUGCCGCCUUCGCCUGUUCUUUUAACUGAAGCUGGUCUUAUCACGUGAUUUGAUAUCGAUUGUCUUAUCUACCUACCAAUGUAAAUAAACACGGCAACUCCCGUGGUUAUUUGUGAAUCGCCACAUGAAUAACAACACCUGUUUCCGUUCAAUAAAUGAAGAACAACGCUGAAAAGAUCGAAAAAAUUGGCCCAUAUUUAAC
rnacentral:lncRNA from 1 species